AUCAACUUUCAUCAGGAGCAGAAGAACAACUUGCCCAACCCAUUGUGGGUUAUUUGGAGGAAGGAACAUCAAAGAUGGGCAUGAGUGCAAGUAGCAGGCUUUACUACCAGUGGUGCUAUGAAAAGCACUCACGGUGGAUCUCGUCUGACCUGGACAUCUUUGAGAUCAGGGAUUUUGAGGAUCCACUGGCAGGCCCUUAUCUUGAGUGCAUCAG